GAUGAAGAACGCAUCGAAAUGCGAUAAGUAAUGUGAAUUGCAGAAUUCAGUGAAUCAUCGAAUCUUUGAACGCAUCUUGCGCUCCUUGGUAUUCUGAGGAGCAUGCCUGUUUGAGUGUCAUUAAAUUCUCAACUACACUGACUUUGAAUUGGUGUGGCUUGGAUUUGGGGGGAAAAUUGUUGUGGGCUUUUUGUAUAGUCUGCUCCCCUGAAAUUGAUUAGCGGUACCUUUGUGGAACUGUCUACAGGUGUGAUAAUUAUCUACAUCUUAGACAUCUGCUGGAAUGCUGCUUUCUAAACCUUACUUGUAUUGACAAUCUUGACCUCAAAUCAGGUAGGACUACCCGCUGAACUUAAGCAUAUUCAAUAAGCGGAGGA
rnacentral:misc_RNA from 1 species